AGCAGCUUUGUCAAAUUCAGUGCUCCCUCUUAAAUAGGUUGCACUGGCCAAAAUGGCUGCAACAAUGACUCUGUAGUUCAUGGGCCCCAUAUGUCUUUACCAUGGAUGCUGGGGAUAAAUAUGUACUACAAACAAAA
ensembl:snoRNA small nucleolar RNA SNORA5